rnacentral:lncRNA from 1 species
UGAUACCCACAGUAGUAUUGAGAAGUUUAUUCUGUCAUAGGCUUCCUUCUACAACACCCUGAAGAAAACUGAAGACUUGGUUGCUACACACAUGCUAUUUGAUGAUGAGAUCUAAAAUGAUUGACAGUUUAUAGUUUCAAAAGAAACCCUUCACCUUACAAAGAAAUAUAGCAUUGAAAACACUGCAAAGAAUAAGAAAAACGUACGAAUUUGCAUCAGUGACUGCGUUAACAGAUAAGCAAUUUACAUAUCUAAGUGAGAAGUCAUCUUCUGAUAAAAUCGUUUGCCUUUACUCAAUCAUCUUGUACACAGGGUCUCCAACCUGAAUCGUUCCAGUUUUGUCAACAGCAAAGUAUUUUCCAAAGAGAGGGCUGGAUUUGUAUAUAUGUCGCUCUGAUGGAUCACACAGGCGGUAACUUUUCAGUGUUUCCAGAGGCUCCUUCCUGUCCAGAACACCAGUGUCUGGGUCAACAGUUGUUAAAAUACACCUUCCACAGCACACCGUCCCUUUCAUCUCCACGUCACCAAUAAGAAUGUCCUCCCAGUUGUCC